UACUGUGACAGUGGGUUAGACAUCCACUUGUUAAAUAAUUCAAUACUGUGACAGUGGGUUAGACAUCCAAAUGCGGGUCCGUACGCUUCAUGAUCUAGAUAAUGUAGAAAUAAAUGAAUGGUCGUUGAAUCUAAUUGUAGUUUGCCUUUAAAUGAAAAUACCUUGCUAAAAUCUAAAUUAUCAGUUGCUGAAAACAAAGCAGGAACUCAAAUCUUGAUGGAGGGAGCAACCAUACUUUGGUUUUGCUUACUAUUUGUUCACCAAAGCUACACUGCUGAACUAGACACCAUUUCAGAUACAAGUUUUCUGACAAAUGGAGAUACGUUGGUCUCUGCUGCUGGAAUUUUCGAACUGGGAUUUUUCAAGCCAGGUAGCUCUGAGAAUACAUAUCUCGGUAUCUGGUAUAAGAACAUCUCUGAUAAAACGGUGGUUUGGGUUGCAAACAGAUACCAACCGGUCCGUGGUGCAUCACGGCUUGAGUUAAAGAUCGCUGAUCAAGGAAUUCUCGGUCUGUUCAGCAAUGACAGCAUGACUUGGUCAUGUAACACAACGGCAUCAGGGAACGUAACUGCAAAGCUUCGGGACAAUGGGAAUCUAGUUCUGAUUGAUCAACAGGAGAUGGUUCUUUGGCAGAGCUUUGAUUACCCAACAGAUACUUUUCUACCUGGCAUGAAGUUAGGGAGAGAUUAUGUAAGGAGAAAGGAAUGGCAUCUUUCAUCAUGGAAGAGUAGUGAUGAUCCAGCUCCAGGAGAAGUGACGUUGGCCGUUGACACACCUGGUUAUCCUGAAUUCAAACUAAGACAAGGAGGGGCCUUGAUCAAAUACCGGGCUGGACCAUGGCGUAAUAAAAUGUAUCCUUGGGGUACUGUAUUGAACAAGAGCUUAACCUUUAGAGUGGUUGUAAUUAUUAAUGAAGGUGAGGAGUCUCUUGGUUAUAGUAUUGAAGACAGUUCUAUUCUAGCAAGGGUUACCGUGAAUUCUACGGUGCAUAUGGAUAUCUCGGUUUGGGUAAACAAUGCUGGAGGGUGGAUAAGUCUCUUGUCAGUACCGACCGAUGCCCGCAAUACAUACAACAUGUGUGGUGCUUAUGGAAUCUGCAGCAUAGAUGCGUACCAACAAUCCUGUAAUUGCAUGGAUAAGAAAAGCUUUGUGCCCAAAAACCAAAAGGAUUGGGACACAGGUGACCGGUCAGGUGGUUGUAUUAGGAGAACACAAUUGGAAUGCAAAAAAGGAUUAGAAGGGUUUAUCAAGUACUCUAAUGUAUCAUUACCAGACACAAAAACCACUUGGUUUAACAUGAACAUGACUCUAGAAGAAUGUCACAAAAAGUGCUUACAGAAUUGUACUUGUAUGGCUUAUGCAAAUCCAGACAGCACUCGAAGCAUCUGCUUGCUUUGGUUCAAUGACCUCCUAGACUUACAACUUGGCGGUGCUGAUAUUUUUGUAAGGAUGGCUUCAUCAGAAUUAGAUUUUCAAUCAAUUUCGGGAAAGAAGCAGGAUGGAUCAAACAAAAUUAAAAUCAUCCUACUUGUAAUCAUUCCAGGGGUUCUUCUCAUAGGCUUGAUCAUUGCUACAUGGUUUUGUUAUGCACGGAGAAAACGGAAUCCUACCAAACCAGCAGGGGAAGGGAAAAUCAUGAAGGCCUCUAAAAGCCAAGAAGAAGAAGACAUCGAGCAAGCAAUAUUUAGCUUUUCUACCAUUGCUAAUGCCACUGAAAAUUUUUCACCUGUUAAUAAACUUGGAGAGGGUGGAUUUGGACCGGUUUAUAAGGGUAUGCUAGAAGAAGGGCAGGAGAUUGCAGUUAAGCGUCUCUCCAAGAACUCAAGUCAAGGACAUGAUGAGUUCAAGAACGAAGUCAUCUGCAUUUCAAAACUUCAGCAUCGAAAUCUUGUGAAGAUUCUUGGUUGUUGCAUAGAGGGAGAUGAGAAGCUAUUGGUCUAUGAGUACAUGCCAAAUAAAAGCUUGGACUCUUUUAUUUUUGACAAAACUCAAAGCACACUUCUUGAUUGGACAAAGCGUUUCAACAUUAUCAAAGGAAUUGCGCGAGGACUAGUUUACCUGCAUCAAGAUUCACGAUUAAGGAUCAUCCACAGGGAUCUUAAAGCUAGCAACAUUCUAUUAGAUCAAGAUAUGAACCCUAAAAUAUCAGACUUCGGCUUAGCUAGAAGUUUUGGAGGAAACGAGACUCAAGCCAACACAGAAAGAGUUGUUGGCACAUAGUAAGCGUGGUUAUAUGUCCCCCGAGUAUGCACUAGAUGGUCUUUUCUCAAUCAAAUCAGAUGUAUUUAGCUUUGGCGUCUUGGUGCUGGAGAUUGUGAGCGGGAAGAGAAAUAGGGGAUUUGUUCGAUCUGAAAAAGAAACUAACUUUAUAGCACAUGUAUGGAGUCUCUAUAAUGAAGGUAGGUCAAUGGAUUUAGUUGAUUUAAGUUGCAGUGAAUCCUGUCAUCCUGAUGAAGUCUUAAGAUCAAUCAAGGUUGGGUUGUUAUGCGUUCAACACAAUGCAGCAGACAGGCCACAAAUGUCAUCUGUAAUUUUGAUGCUGGGCGGCGAGGGUGAACCGCCACAACCAAAGCAGCCAUCGUUUUUCAUGGAAAGGCAGCAUGUAGAAAACUUCUCCUCAAGUACUAACACAGAAGGUUCAUCAAAAGAUUGUACCAUUUCGGAGGUAUAUGCUCGAUAGAAAACUAAGUUUACUGUGGCAUAAUUGUUUAUUGUUUCACACGUAUUAUUUGCAUCCAGUUCUAAAGCGAAGGGCUAAAAUUUGUGUACUAUUAUUUUUUAAUGGUUAUAUGUGUUAACGAAAAAAAACUAGUGGGCUCUUUUUGUGUUGGGUUUAUUGUUUAGCCCAUUUAGCUUGUAACGAUAGUUCAUCUAUCUAUAGUCUCUCUUUUCCUUGUUCUAUGUAUUCACUUUUCAUGAUAAUAAAACCCUAGCCGCUUUUCUUUUGUA